AACGAACGCUGGCGGCAUGCCUAACACAUGCAAGUCGAACGAGACCUUCGGGUCUAGUUGCGCACGGGUGCGUAACGCGUGGGAACCUGCCUUUAGGUUCGGAAUAACUCAGAGACAUUUGAGCUAAUACCGGAUGAUGUCUUCGGACCAAAGAUUUAUCGCCUUUAGAUGGGCCCGCGUUGGAUUAGCUAGUUGGUGGGGUAAAGGCCUACCAAGGCGACGAUCCAUAGCUGGUCUGAGAGGAUGAUCAGCCACACUGGGACUGAGACACGGCCCAGACUCCUACGGGAGGCAGCAGUGGGGAAUAUUGGACAAUGGGCGAAAGCCUGAUCCAGCAAUGCCGCGUGAGUGAUGAAGGCCUUAGGGUUGUAAAGCUCUUUUACCCGAGAUGAUAAUGACAGUACCGGGAGAAUAAGCUCCGGCUAACUCCGUG
rnacentral:rRNA from 1 species